GCCGGAAUAGCUCAGUCGGUAGAGCAGCGCAUUCGUAACGCGAAGGUCGUAGGUUCGAUUCCUAUUUCCGGCACCA
rnacentral:tRNA from 4 species